rnacentral:rRNA from 1 species
UACGUAGGGUGCAAGCGUUAAUCGGAAUUACUGGGCGUAAAGCGUGCGCAGGCGGUUAUGUAAGACAGGUGUGAAAGCCCCGGGCUUAACCUGGGAAUGGCAUUGGAAACUGGCUCGCUGGAGUGUGGCAGAGGGGGGUGGAAUUCCGCGUGUAGCAGUGAAAUGCGUAGAGAUGCGGAGGAACACCGAUGGCGAAGGCAGCCCCCUGGGCUAACACUGACGCUCAGGCACGAAAGCGUGGGGAGCAAACAGG